CACGUAGGGUGCGAGCGUUGCCCGGAUUUAUUGGGCGUAAAGGGCGCGUAGGCGGUCACGCACGUCCGUUGUGAAAUCGCUCGGCUCAACUGGGCGGGGUCAGCGGAUACGGCGUGGCUGGAGCAAGCUAGGGGGCAAUGGAAUUCCCGGUGUAGUGGUGGAAUGCGUAGAUAUCGGGAGGAACACCAGUGGCGAAGGCGGUUGCCUGGAGCUUUGCUGACGCUGAUGCGCGAAAGCGUGGGGAGCGAUCCGG
rnacentral:rRNA from 1 species